CCUACGGGUGGCAGCAGUGAGGAAUAUUGGUCAAUGGGCGGGAGCCUGAACCAGCCAAGUCGCGUGAGGGAAGACGGUCCUAUGGAUUGUAAACCUCUUUAGGCGGGGAGCAAUGCCGGGCACGCGUGCCCGGAGGGAGAGUACCCGCAGAAUAAGCAUCGGCUAACUCCGUGCCAGCAGCCGCGGUCAUACGGAGGAUGCGAGCGUUAUCCGGAUUUACUAGGUGUAAAGGGAGCGUAGACGGCAAUACAAGUCGGAAGUGAAAUACCCGGGCUCAACCUGGGAACUGCUUUGGAAACUGGAUGGCUGGAGUGCUGGAGAGGCAAUCGGAAGUCCGUGUGUAGCGGGGAAAUGCGUAGAUAUACGGAGGAACACCAGUGGCGAAGGCGGAUUGCUGGACAUUAACUGACGCUGAGGCACGAAGGCCAGGGGAGCGAAAGGGAUUAGAUACCCCUGUAGUC
rnacentral:rRNA from 1 species